AAAGCACCAGUUCCCAUAUAAUCACUGAAGUUAAGCAACAUAGAGCCUGGUCAGUAUUUAGAUGGGUGACUGUUUGGGAAUAUCGGGUGCUGUAAG